rnacentral:rRNA from 1 species
CCUACGGGAGGCAGCAGUGGGGAAUAUUGCGCAAUGGGCGAAAGCCUGAUGCAGCGACGCCGCGUGAGUGAUGAAGGUCUUCGGAUCGUAAACCUCUGUCAGCAGGGAAGAACGGUCACUGUGCUAAUCAGCAGUGAAUUGACGGUACCUGCAAAGGAAGCACCGGCUAACUCCGUGCCAGCAGCCGCGGUAAUACGGAGGGUGCGAGCGUUAAUCGGAAUUACUGGGCGUAAAGCGCUCGUAGGCGGGAUGUCAAGUCAAGGGUGAAAUCCCCGCGCUCAACGUGGGAACUGCCUUUGAGACUGGCAACCUGGAGUGUUUGAGAGGGUGGUGGAAUUCCAGGUGUAGGGGUGAAAUCCGUAGAUAUCUGGAGGAACAUCAGUGGCGAAGGCGACUCUCUGGCCCAUAACUGACGCUGAGGAGCGAAAGCGUGGGUAGCAAACAGGAUUAGAUACCCCUGUAGUC